rnacentral:rRNA from 1 species
UACGUAGGGUGCAAGCGUUGUCCGGAAUUAUUGGGCGUAAAGAGCUCGUAGGCGGUUUGUUGCGUCGGCUGUGAAAUCCCGAGGCUCAACCUCGGGUCUGCAGUCGAUACGAGCAAACUAGAGUGUUGCAGGGGAGACUGGAAUUCCUGGUGUAGCGGUGAAAUGCGCAGAUAUCAGGAGGAACACCGGUGGCGAAGGCGGGUCUCUGGGCAACAACUGACGCUGAUGCGCGAAAGCCAGGGGAGCGAACGGG